AAAAAGAGACAGCUACCAUUCGGUAGCUCAAGUGGAAAAAAAGAAGAAACAAGGAAUGCAGAUAUUAGCAACCAGAUGUUGCAGGAUAUGAUGCAAUCCCAUGUUGACUGCAUCAUCCACAGACCUGUUUGCUCGAUAAGCAAAUUGAAGGGGAUCUAGAAAGGGUCCAGUGAUGUCCUUCAGGUGGGCCAACACCAGUCUCUCAAAUGACUUCAUGACCACAGACGUCAGGGAGACAGCUAAAUGUGCAGAGAAAGCCAUAAGUAGGCCCUUACCAGGCCGACAUAAGAAGACUGACUCAUCCAAUG